UGUGAUCAUGGCGUGUUAUGCGACUGGUCCAACGUAACAUUUUCGUCUCCAUUAUCGCGAGAUGUCGUUCAUUGUCUUUUAUAGUCAGUCAUAGCUAUCACUCAGAACCAUAGAGGGCGAUUUGGGCAGACGACACUGUAGUAAAUUUUCGACUUGAGAGAUUUGUUGAUACGUCGAUCACAAAGAACGCCAGUUGUAGAAGGCCCCUUCAUCCAGGUUGCGAUAAUGCGUGAAGCAAUUGCAUAAGGCAGUUUACCAUUAGUUCACCCCCAUUCCGCCAGCAACACCUAUGCUUUAUCCCCUUCGGUUUCUGGUAAUGUGCUUUAGCUCCACCCAAAAUUUUCCUCGGUGAUCUUCAAAUUUCAUACUCAUAAUUUACGUCAAACGUAUCUAUUCUCGUCCAUUAUUUUACGUUUUGAGCUUGCCUCCCUCUGCUGCAAACAACCGUUCCGGAUCGACAUUAUAUACAUACAUAUUAUCCUGUUGGACGUUGUUGAGAUAGAGCUUCAAUCCAUUUCUUAAUAUUUCAUAAAUCUAAAAGCAAUGAAAAUACAUCGAUUUUCAUAUAUUUGAAAUUAAUAAUUAAAAAAAUUCCAUUGAUUUGAUAAUUUUUUUUGUUUAUUGAAAAGUUAUGGCGUAUUAUUUAGAUCGCUCUUAAGUUAUUCAUUAGUUUUUAAUGUUAUAAAUUGAUUUCAGUUGAAAUUUUCUACGUGUUUAAAGUUUAAGUUUGUAUCUGUUCGAAUAAGUUUUUAAUAAAAACGUUAUAACGUAUGUUUUGCACUUUUGUUUUCUACUUAUAGUGUCUAUGUCCUGUACUACAUUUUCCUUUUCUAGAUAGCUCACAUCAUUCCCCCCACUUCCAAAGCCAGUUUCCUUUAAUCUUUGAUCACAUAAUAAAAAAAAAUAAGGUUGCCACAUAGCUAAGACAAAUUAUAACAGCAGAAAGAUUUUUCAGGUGCUGAUCAAAUUGCCACUAUAAAAACCCGUUGAAGCAAAAUCAAAUUCAAAUCUAUUCCAUAUACAGAAUAAAUGAAUCAACCAACAUCAACAAACUUUUAUAACUAAUAUAAUGUAAAUACAUUCGCAAAAUAAUAGCAAUUGUUUGAAAUAAAAUAAAAGAAAAACAGGCAGCAACUAAUAAUCAGAGAGAACUGACAAAAAUAAAAACAAGAAAAACCACAAUAAACCGAAUGUUUAUUAUUGACGAAACAAGUAAACUAAAAAGAAAAAAAAAUAUUACAAAGUUACUACAAAAGAACUCGCUCGCAUUUAAAAUAGAAUUGAUAUAAUUAUUAAUUAUUGAAAUCAAUAAGCAUUAUUAUGACGAUAUACUCCUAAAAACAGUUACGAUAAAAUCUAUAUAUAAUUCCUACAAACAACAGUCAUUCGUCCAUACAAAUGAUACUUAAAAUGAUAAUGAUGCAACAAUAGUAUAUUCUAAUCUGUACUCUUUUAUUCUGUAUUAAGUACUGUUUUCUGUUUGAACCAUAAUAUCCAUUUUAAAUUAAAACAUUAAACAAGUAUCGAUUGAGAGUCAAUGAGACGAAAUCAAGUAAAUGGUUGAACAUUUCAAAGAAUUGUAAAAUAUGAUAUUAAAUUCUAAAAAUAAUUGUAACCUGCUCUUUUGUUUAAACAAAAUUUGAAUGGAAGUUAUACAAAUCAAAUUACAAUAUUAUUAAAAAGUGACGCAAAUCAAAACUUGGUUCUAAUUUAUCUUGUGUGAUUUCAAUUGAUAAGUCCGUUUUUGGUAUUGUUAUUAAAACAAGCGCAAUACUCAAGAAAUAGAGCAAAACAAAAAAUGGGGAAUACUUUUAGUACUUUUUCUAGUUUUAAAAGGCAAUCACGAAUUAUUCAAUUUCAACUUCAAUAUAUGAUACGCAUUGAGUUUUGAAAUGCUUUAAUUUGAAGAAAAUUUCACAUUUCUUAUAAAUAGCCAUAAAUGUCUCCAUAAUUUACAGACAAUUUUCUAGAUUAAUAGGAAUUUUCUUUGAACAAAAAACGAUGAAAAUUUAAUAAUUGGAUUACGAAGUUACUUUAAGACCACCCUUGCGAUAGUUUUAUUGAUUUUAGUGCCUCUAAGAAAUUGACAAACGAAUUUGUGUUAACGUAAAGCUCAUACAGAAUAUGAAUUCAAUUAGAUUGAACAGUUUAAAAAAAAAUUAGUAAUAUUUUAUUUUAAUUGAUGUCAUAUAUCAACUGGUGUAACAAGAAACCCCGUACAAUAUUUCUGUUUGCUAAGCUUGACUCUUAAUUUAAUUUACACUUGAUUUGUAUUCGAGCGCAAUGAUGACAUAGAAUUUCGGAGCUUAUCCUACUUCAUUUAUAAUACUAUAUUUAGUUUCGAAUUGUUUUUUGUAUAAAUCAAUUCAAACAACACUGACAGAGCAAGAAAUUCAGUGACUCCAAUAUUAUUGGUUUAUAUUUAUAUUAUACAUACUAAAGAGACACAAAAUUUGAAACAGGAAUCAUAGAAUAACCAACGUAUAAUUAUCACAUCCACUGCGUAAACAUUUAUAUAAUAUUUGAUUUUCGAAUUUAUUAGGACAACAAAAUUUAAACGGAAAACAAAAAUCAUUUGAUGAUAUUGAUAUGUGUAUGGGGAACUAUUGAAUGCAAUUAAAUGUAGACGUGCGAAUUCAAUUUAAGAAAUUUAUACUAAUAAAGACCAUAUUUUUCGAUAAAUUUUUAUUAUAAAUAAACGAUAAUUAGUAGUACCGUUCCAAAUAAAUUCAAAAUUUAGUAGAUUAAGUAUUUCGUAAAUAUUUGGCGUGUAAUAAUUCAAUGCAAUAAUUUUUGGUACAAGAUUAAGUAUUUAUUUCUUAUUUAAACAUUUCUCAAAUCAAUAGCAACGGCGUUAUUUAAGAAAAAUGGUUUAAACAUGAAAAAAAAUUUGACUAAAACUAUUUGAAAAUUUUGGAAACAUAUUAAUUUAAUUAAAGUAGAAUAAGUGUGAAGUAGAGACUAAAUUAGAGCUUUCGUAUUGAAUAAAUUAAAGUAAGGUAAUUUUUAGUAGGAUCGGCGUAAUUUUGAUGGCGAGUUUAGGUUUAUAAUUUUGAUAUUUGCAUAGAGAAUGUGAAGUAAAGUCUGAUAGAGAAAGUGAGAAAAGUUAAUUGGCGAUUUAGCUUUUAAAAUGUAUAGAUUUAAGUGCAAUCGUUUUGGUUGUCAUUCAAAUAUUUGAAAGGGCAACUUUUUUCCAUAAGUUCUGUGAUUCCUGGUGUAGCAAUUGGCCGUUGUAUAAGAAGGAGGGAAGUUCGUUGAAGAAAAUUGCAAUGUUUUUUCAAGUUUGGACUGUUUUAGUACAUGAAAUUGGAUUAUCUCAAAUUUCAGAAAUAUUUGACCAUUUGGUUUCCUGUUAUCUAAAAUUGCCUUCAACCACAUUGAGAGAGCCCAGUUGAGCUUUCUGACAAUCAGUUUUUUCUGGUGGUUUGAUCCAGGGAUAAUCGCUGCUUUCCAUCCAUAAGCAAAUUAAAACCAGCUUAGAAUCUAUGCUUGGAGCUGGAAAUCAUUAUGGUCAAUAAGCGGAAAACUCAUUGCAAUUUUCUCUAAAAAGUAUCUCCCGAAAGCGAAUUUUCAUGCGCAUAAAUAAAAACCUUAACAUGAUCAGGUUUGUAAUAUAUUUGACGUCAGCUUGAAAUAUUAGUAACUUUAAAACGAAUUAAGCAUAAUUUAGUAUUAAAAUAAAUUACCUAAAUAUUGCCUUCAAGUUAUAUUGAAACUCAACAUAAUAUUUUACAUUACCAUAAAAUUGCUCUUCUAUUAUCAUAAUCACUAAAGACUAUUCGAUGCAGUUCAUUUUUGACUCUGAUUUUAUAUGAAUAAACCAGAAGCAGCAUUCAUCAACCUAAAAUAUUAAACUCCAUGCAAAAUGUAAGAAACGAUUCUUCGUUUAUAACUUACUUGCCUUAAGUUCACAAAUAGAAAGGAAUAAAAACCAAAGCUAACAAUUUUAUCAAUAUUUUUUUACAGUGACUAAUAUAUUUUACAGAUACAAACAAUCGUAGCAAUUACUAGAUCACAAAUGAUAAAUAAUUUUUUUCUUAAUAUUGAAAUGAUUAAAUAAAUGAAACAGAAAAACCAUGGUGAUAUUAUAUAUAUUUAUAUUAACAUAAAUAAGAAAAUAUUUGUUAAAUUUAUUUGUUUAUUUAGCCAAAUGCAAAUGUGAAAACAUAAAAAAAUGCAGAAAUGAAAUGAAAAUAGUGAAAAAAAUAAGAAGAUUUUAAAUGUAAUUAACGGAGAAAUAUUCAAAGUAUAUAUUUCACCGACAACAGACCUAAACUUCUAAGAUAAAACAAUAAAUAGUUAAAUUUUCAAUGAAAUCAUAAAGACAUUCUGAAAAUGAAACUAUAUCGAAAUAAACAGGUACGAAAAUAGAGUUUAAAUUAAUAUUGUUCAGUUUAGAUCACUUUCGUUUCUUGAAUCAGUUUCAGAUAAUUAUAUCGUUUUUUUCCUAUUUGUUUAAUUUUGUUUAAUUUUUCCUCAAAGCAGAAUCGAAAUUCGGGUUCUAUUAACCCUAAAAACAUUUAGAAAGAAGUUGACGAAAUUCCAAGUAAUUCAAAAGAUACUUAAUACUAAAAAUUGUAACGAAGAUUAUAUGUAAUUUUUCGAUCAUGAAAUUUGAACAAAAAAAAUGGACAAGGAGAUUAAAUCUAAAAUACUGCAAAUUACUAACUUUAGGCACUUUGGCAACCAAGAAAAAUAACAAAAAAAAAAAUCUUUUCCAGGAAAACAUUUCCCCUGACUUUUGGAAAAUCACAUUCAGAUCGCAAAAAGAUUAAAAAUUAUAAAUAUGUAGUUUUGUAGUUUAAUAAUUAAAAGCAAAAUAACAACAUUAUCUCUAUGUACAAAGGAAAAAAUUAAAGCUACAUGUUUUGGAAAUGAUAUGAAGCAAAAUUGAAUGUAAAUCUUUUACUGCAUACAUUUUUCGAGUGAAUGAAUAAAAAUGAAAAUAUAAAAAUUAUUGUCUAUCUAAAGUGAACUUUGAGCAUAAUAUUAAAUAAAAAUUCAAGGCUUAAAUCUUCUCUAAAAAUACAUAUGACUUUGAAUAGAAGACACGAAAAAUUCUAUAAGUAUUUGAAAUGCAUCAAGGCAGUGUAGUAAAUCAAAUUGUAAUAAAUAAUUUUCAAAAAUGAGGAGUGAAAGCAAAGUGUAAAUUAUUAAAUAACGAAAGAAUAUAUCAAAUAACACACUAUCAUGUAAAAAAAUAUGAAGCUUCAUGUUAAUAGAAAUUAAUGGUAAUAAAAAUUUAAAGGAGGAAUAAUAUUAAAUUGAAUUUUGGUAGAAUUAUCAUAAUUUAUGUCAGAACUAAAAAUGAAGCAUAAUUAUUUCCAGAUGAUUUUUCCUCGAAAUUCAACAGUUUUCACAAACAACAGUCUGGAAUAAAUUUUCAAUCAAAAUUACCUAAUUCCAAUUACUUUAAAUUCAGCCUCAAUAUCAACUGAAUUAAAAUUUGAAUGCAAUGAAUAAAACAAAGAUAUUGGAGUUAAACCAGUAAAUGCAGUAAAAGAUUCUUACAGUAACUUAAUUAAAAAAAACAAUUUCGCAGAAAGUUAUAUGCUAUCAAAGUAUUCUCUUCAAAAUAUAUAUUUAAUUUGAUGUUAUUUUACUUUAUUGUAGUAACUCUAAUUUUUAUAUUCGCUCUCUUAAUUAUUAAAAAAAAAAUCAAAUCAUAUAAAUAUUUAAUAGAUUUAAUCACAUUUUCUAAUCGUUCGAUAUUCCGUAGUAAAGUGAGUUCAAGAAAUUCUGUUAAUUGAACAAGAAACCAAGAGAAAAGUCAAAAAUUUGGAAGUAAUAUAACUUUUCGGACAUUUUGGAAUCUAACAUAAUACGACGAAAGAAAUCAAAAGUGUUCAAAAUUAUAAUAAAAUUCAAAAUUAACUGUAAAUAAAAUAUAA
rnacentral:lncRNA from 1 species